AUGCGAUCAUACCAACACUAACGCACCAGAUCCCAUCAGAACUCUGCAGUUAAGCGUACUUGGGCGAGAGUAGUACUAGGAUGGGUGACCUCCAGAAAAGUCCUCGUGUGUCAUCCCUCUUUUUGUUUUGUUAAAAAUGUAUGACUCUAUAACUUUAAGACCGUGAGGCCAAACUUGACAUGUGAUACCUUUUCGGAAAGCCCAAAGAGAGCUCUCCGAUGAAUGAGGAAGGAAAAUGGAAUUCUUGUAUUUGUUUUUUUCCUUCUCCAAAUUUUGAUUGUAAUGUACUUUUUCGAGCCUUUUCAUUAUCUUUGCUAUAUUACGGGGCCAAAAUUAUAUGUUCGGACAUUAUUUUCGAAUAUUUUGCAUGUAUCAAAGCUCUUAUAAACCAGAUAGGGUAUUCCUACACAGCUGGUGGGACCCACGGCAAAUGGAUCAUAAAGUCUUCAAAACAGAAUAGAUACAAUUGCAUUGCAUGUAGUAACGGAUGCGAUCAUACCAGCACUAAUCCACCAGAUCCCAUCAGAAAUCCGUAGUUAAGCGUGCUUGGGCGAGAGUAGUACUAGGAUUGGUGACCACCUGGAAAGUCCUCGUGUUGCAUCCCUCUUUUUUUUUGGUUUUUCUCUUUUUGUUUUGUCAAAAAUGUAUGACUCUAGAACUUUUAGACCGUGAGGCCAAACUUGGCAUGUGAUACCUUUUCGGAAAGCCCAAAGAGAGCUCUCCGAUGAACUAGGAAGGAAAAUGGAAUUCUUCUAUAGUUUCUUUUUCUACUCCAAAUUUUGACCUUAAUGUACUUUUUCGGGCCUUUUCGUAAUCUUUGUUAUAUUACGCGGCGAAAAUUAUAUGUACGGACAUUGUUUUCGUAUAUUUUGCAUGUAUCAGAGCUCUUAUAAACAAGAUAGGGUAUUCCUACAUAGCUGGUGGGACCCACGGCAUAUCGAUCAUUAAGUCUUCAAAAAAGAAUAAAUACGAUUGCAUUACAUGUAGUUACGGAUCGAUCAUACCAGCACCAAUGCACCAGAUCCCAUCAGAACUCUGCAGUUAAACGUGCU
rnacentral:sRNA from 1 species